rnacentral:tRNA from 1 species
UCCCUGGUGGCUCAGACAGUAAAGAAUCUGCCUGCAAUGCAGAAGGCCUGGGUUUGAUCCCUGGAUUGGGAA